UACGUGGGGGGCAAGCGUUGUUCGGAAUUACUGGGCGUAAAGGGCUCGUAGGUGGCCAACUAAGUCAGACGUGAAAUCCCUCAGCUUAACUGGGGAACUGCGUCUGAUACUGGAUGGCUUGAGUUUGGGAGAGGGAUGCGGAAUUCCAGGUGUAGCGGUGAAAUGCGUAGAUAUCUGGAGGAACACCGGUGGCGAAGGCGGCAUCCUGGACCAAUACUGACACUGAGGAGCGAAAGCCAGGGGAGCAAACGGG
rnacentral:rRNA from 1 species